AUUUUGCGUUUAACCAAAUGACUCUAGUGACAUAGUGACUAAUAGAAGUGACUUUAGUACAAUAUUAAGUUAACAGUGGAAAAAGUGAUACAAUAGAAAUCAACAGUAAUCACAACCAUAACAACCGAUCAUUUAUAUCAAAAUCAAAACUAAUGACGUAUUUAAAUUUACAGCUUAAUUAGAAAGAGCCAUCGGGAAAAAUUUUCAUCUCAAACAACAUAGAAAAACAGAUAAGGUUCACUUCAAUAAUCCUUUCUGAAGCAAAAAUGACUUUCAACCAAGUUGGGAUUCAAUUCCACACGUUCGUUCUCCCGAACCAAUUCUCAUUGAUACUAAAGGGCCUGCUUCAGGUAGAACGAAACACUAUAACCGAAGAAUUAAAAGUCUAUAACCUCAACUCUGUAAACUGUAUAGCACUUAGGCCCAACAGAAACAGUUCAAUCUAUCGAAUUAAUUUUCCUGCAAAUACAACUUUUGCCCAGGCAUAAGGAUAUACUUCUGAGAACUAUUUUAAGUUACCAAAAUGUGUCAAGUCUGGAGAAGAGCAUAUGACUAAAAAUUGUGUGAAAGCUCCAGAUACUCCUUAAUGUGCAAACUGUGAAUAGUUAACUUCUCAAACUGUUCCAAACUACAAACUUAACUGAAUCGGAGGAAUGUCAGAAACUUAAAGGAUCAGUGAUGACAAUAUUAUGGAAAACUAUACAAUGAUGCACUCCAAGGGACAAUCAGGAAUGAAACAAAUUCUCAUAAUUCAACAUCAGUUCUUCCGAAACAAUCCUCAUUAUAUUUCUACGAGCUGAAGUUUUUGGUCUUGGUCAA